GACGAACCGUGCGAACGUUAUUCGGAAUCACUGGGCUUAAAGCGCGUGUAGGCGGGACGGCACGUCGGCCGCUGAAAUCCCCCGGCUCAACCGGGGAAGGGGCGCCGAUACGACCGCCCUGGAGGGACGUAGGGGGGGCUGGAACUUCCGGUGGAGCGGUGAAAUGCGUUGAGAUCGGAAGGAACGCCCGUGGCGAAAGCGAGCCCCUGGACGUCUACUGACGCUGAGGCGCGAAAGCUAGGGGAGCAAACGGG
rnacentral:rRNA from 1 species